AACGAACGCUGGCGGCGCGCCUAAUACAUGCAAGUCGAGCGAGAAGGUGUAGCAAUACACUUGUAAAGCGGCGAACGGGUGAGGAAUACAUGGGUAACCUACCCUCGAGUGGGGAAUAACUAGCCGAAAGGUUAGCUAAUACCGCAUACGAUUCCAGGACUUCGGUCCUGGAAGGAAAGCACUACCGUGGGUAGUGCGCCCCUGGAUGGGCUCAUGUCCUAUCAGCUUGUUGGUGAGGAAAGGCUCACCAAGGCUUCGACGGGUAGCUGGUCUGAGAGGACGAUCAGCCACACUGGCACUGCGACACGGGCCAGACUCCUACGGGAGGCAGCAGUAAGGAAUAUUGCGCAAUGGGCGAAAGCCUGACGCAGCGACGCCGCGUGGGGGAUGAAGGUCUUCGGAUUGUAAACCCCUUUCGGGAGGGAAGAGGGAAUGGGGCGAACCCAUUCGGACGGUACCUCCAGAAGCAGCCACGGCUAACUUCGUGCCAGCCGCCGCAGUAAC
rnacentral:rRNA from 1 species